rnacentral:rRNA from 1 species
UACGUAGGGGGCAAGCGUUGUCCGGAAUCAUUGGGCGUAAAGAGCGUGUAGGCGGUCUGGUAGGUCCGUUGUGAAAACUCGAGGCUCAACCUCGAGACGCCGAUGGAAACCAUCAGACUAGAGUCCGGAAGAGGAGAGUGGAAUUCCUGGUGUAGCGGUGAAAUGCGCAGAUAUCAGGAGGAACACCGGUGGCGAAGGCGGGUCUCUGGGCCGAUACUGACGCUGAGGAGCGAAAGCGUGGGGAGCGAACAGG